CCCUUUGAUAUUGACACGUUAAAACAAUGUUAACGAGACCUCUAACAGUCGCAUACAUCACUGUCCCUGUUAAGAUUGUGACUUUAAUAGAGCAAAAGAGGGUCCAGGAGAGGCAAAUGACAGCAAAGGAUGCAUUGGCUGGCACCACAAAUACUAACGUCGUCGCUGGGGUGUCGGAUGGGAAAAGGGCAACUAAAUUCUUUGUAUUUGAAGAAUUGGCAAAGGGGAUAGAGAAGGUGGAGCAAUUACAGGGACAUCACAGUGAUGCUCACAAGACAUCAGACAGAGUCGCCUACAUCACUGCCCCUGUACAAGUCCCCGCCCACCUGGAGGCAGAGGCCCGGGACUUGGUAUGUCCCGGGUCAAUGCUAAUCAGUCUCUUGGUAUCUCCCGGGAGGCCAACCUCACACAGUUGGCCUCCCUAUAAGCGCUAUGCAUAUGCGGGCCACAAGGACUGUUCAUCUGUUCUGUUUCAGCACACCACACUUAGCCAAUGGUUGUAUAACGCGUCACUACGUAGCGUUCAUAGCUAUGUUGACAAGCAAACCACACACAAAACCGCCCACAUUCCUAUGCGGAGAACAGCCCGAUCUGGCAACACAGACCUUGUCAUCAUCUCUGUAGCCGGCUGAGUCAAACACGCUAUGAUAUUUGCUUCGUUCAUCACCAGCCAAAUUGGCUGGCGACUUUACAAUCUUACACGCAAAAGUUAUUUUCUACCUGCAUCUGGUGGGUUGGCAGGUGUUAAUUUUAAGCUCUUGCUAUGAGUGACCAUUGUGACUGCGUGGUUCAGUGUGUUGGUAACUGUGCUUUGUGUGUUGGUAACUGCUUCGUGUCUUUUAAUACUCCCAAUAUCUUUCUUUUAUACAGAAGAUGCUGCUGCUACUGCUGCUGCCUCAGCACUACACUUCCAGACGGUCUGUCCAAAGGCUGCAUCCCACAUGGCCGGUGGAACUACGUGCUCUUUAGCACAGGGGUCCAGGACCUCCUUGUCCCUGUCUGGGAGGGUCCUGAACCCCACGGCCUGGACCCCCUUGGGGGAGGGGGGAAUUAAUUUGGCCUUUUCAAAUUGAAAUAAUAAAUGGAAAGGCAUGGCUUGGACAAUCUCUCCAAAGGCUAAUGCCUCCUUUGCUGUCAUUUAAUAACUGGAGGAGAGACCCUAGCUGCUCCUUCUGGCCCGCAUAUGCAUGGCGCUUAUAGGGAGGCCAACCUCUAGCUGUGAGGUUGGCCUCCCGGGAGAUGCCAAGGCCCGGGUCUCUGCCUCCAGGGCGUACACAAACAAGCGUGUCUUGUUGACUGGAGGAGAGUCCAUAGCUGCUACUUUGGCCCGCAUAUGCAUGGCGCUUAUAGGGAGGCCAACCUCUAGCUGUGAGGUUGGCCUCCCGGGAGAUACCAAGGCCCGGGUCUCUGCCUCCAGGUGGGGGCGGGGACUUGUACAGGGUCAGUGAUGCAUGUUUCUGUUGUAUGUUGUUUCAUGUUUUGUUGGUUUUAAUAAAUCCAGUUUUCUGACUAAACUGAAGUGUUUAUUGAUGUGUUGAUAUGAAUCGUAAAUGGUAUAUCCUCUGGAUUCAUUGCAUGUUUGUGGCUAUAAUAUCAACCCUGUAAUGCAAAGACAGGCUUCAAACAUGCUUUCAGGAAAACCUGGGCUGUCAUGAGUAUUUGUGCUGCGGUGAUAUCGUUUGAAAGUAAAAACUUAUGAUGGGACAACAAAGUCAAACGGAAAUUGAAUCUCACAAUUAUAUAUUGUUACCAAAACAAAGUUGGUGCUUUUUGGCUUAAACUCAAAGUACAAAUCUACCCAUACUAUAUACAGUAUAACUACACAAAACAGCGUAUACAAUGUACAGUAUAUUAUACUUUCAUACAAGUGAUCAAACCAAGGAUCCGCUCUCUACAAUGUCCCAUGUGGAGCAAAGGUUAUCUUAUGAAAAGGUAAGAAAGCCCUUCAGUGUCUACUACUUGACGGUACACUUGACAGUGUAGUACGGUCUACAGCUAUGCUUAGAACGCUUCAGAACAUCGCCGAAACUCCACCGGAUGUUUUGGAGAUGACGCAUCUCCCCUCAGAUGGUGGUGUCGGGUCAGCCAUCUCUUCGUUCGUUACCACACUCCGGUUGCAUUGUGGGAUAGCGUUGUGAACUCCGUUGUUUACUGUGGCGGUAGUACGCAUUCGGAAACGUUUUCCGUACUACACAAUGCGUACGGAGCAUUCGGACGCACUAUAUUUGUGGCGUACUACAAAAUGCAUACUAUAUAGCAGUCAAGUAUGAGUAUUCGGAUUCAGCCAAACAAAUAAAAUGUGCCUUCCCGUGCGUGUUUGAGAAACAGUGAGAGUUAACACUGUCCUAAAUUUUACAUAACGCAUUCUUCAUUUAGUCUGCCGGCUAAUGGUAGUAGUAGUAGUGGUAGGAGGAGCAGUAUAAAUGUUGAAUAGCUUUAUUCAAGUGAGGGAUUUGAACAGAGUUCCAAAUGUUAAAAUCGGAUUGCGUGUGUGUGUGUGUGUGUGUGUGUGUGUGUGUGUGUGUGUGCCCAAGCCGGCGUGCGUGUGUGUGUGUGCCCAAGUGUGUGUGUGUGUGUGUG
ensembl:lncRNA